CUGAAGUCUUUACGGAGUACCCAUGUCCUUAACUGGAGAUCACUGAAAUCUCACCGAAAGCAUUCCCACCGAUUGAUGUGACACGUGAACGUAACCCUAAGCAACACCGUACAGAACUGUUUGUAAAGCUCCGCUUCAAGUCUCACUGGCUGGCAAUUUUCUCAUGUGCAUCAUUAACCCAUUUGGGCAUUUGUCGCAUCACCACUCCCGUAUUUCCAUUGCCGCCUUCAGUCACGUUUUCUCCGUCAGGCACAAAGUUUUUACAGGCUGCAGUGAGAUCUCUCGCGGUGAGGAUCAGCCCAACCCGGUGAGCCGGUCCGGUGGUAACGGGACUGCAGAGGCGGCGAGCGCUCGGGGCCAUCCGCCCGCAG
rnacentral:lncRNA from 1 species